rnacentral:rRNA from 1 species
GUUUGAUGGUGGCUCAGGACGAACGCUGGCGGCGUGCUUAACACAUGCAAGUCGAACGAUGAAGCCUAGCUUGCUAGGUGGAUUAGUGGCGAACGGGUGAGUAAUACGUGAGUAACCUACCUUUAACUCUGGGAUAAGCCUGGGAAACUGGGUCUAAUACCGGAUACGACCAAUCUCCGCAUGGGGUGUUGGUGGAAAGCGUUAUGUAGUGGUUAUAGAUGGGCUCACGGCCUAUCAGCUUGUUGGUGAGGUAACGGCUCACCAAGGCGACGACGGGUAGCCGGCCUGAGAGGGUGACCGGCCACACUGGGACUGAGACACGGCCCAGACUCCUACGGGAGGCAGCAGUGGGGAAUAUUGCACAAUGGGCGCAAGCCUGAUGCAGCGAUCGCCGCGUGAGGGAUGACGGCCUUCGGGUUGUAAACCUCUGUUAGCAGGGAAGAAGAGAAAUGAC